rnacentral:misc_RNA from 1 species
AAAUUACAUAACACUGGUUAAUUAGAAUUAGUGUCACCAUACAAAAACUGAAGAAAGUUGACAACACUACAACAGAGAUUUUUGUGUGAUCCCAUUGCUCCUUAAUUUAAUAAUGUAUCUAUGGAAACGCUAUCCCACUACAACAGUCCAACAAAUGGCUAUAGCAUAGAGAUCCUCACAACUACCUUGUUUACUAAAUACUACAAAUUUCAUCAAAAAUUUUAUCUGAACUAGCUAACUUUGUCGUGAAUUUACGUUGCGCUGUUGCAUCAAGAUUUUUGUCUUGAAUACCAACUUCGUAGUCAUAAAGAAUCACGAGGAAGACACAGCAACCAACCUUCUGAUUUACAAUUUGUUCAACCUUCUAACCAAAGAGAUAAAUUAGGUGCCAAACUCAUUCAAGAUGCCUACAAAAAAUUCCCCUCUAUUCUGCCCCUCUCUCUCAAAAAAAAAAAAA